GCCUUCGUGAUGUAGUGGUCAGCAUGCUCGGUCUGUAUUCGAGAGGUCCGUGGUUCGAAUCCCGGAGAGAGCG
rnacentral:tRNA from 1 species